rnacentral:misc_RNA from 1 species
AAGACAAAGAACGAAGCCACAUAAAAAAUCUGAAAGAAUUUAUGAUAUUGGUAUACAGGCAUACAAGUUAAGGUCUACUUCCCUGCAGACUGCCAUGGAACUUUCAUUGCUCGAAGCUGUGGCGCGCCGUUUUGUGACUGGAUUUCUUGGACGCUUCAUCUCUAGUGGCUGUUUAAUUUUAGAAGAGGAAGGAGGCACAAG